rnacentral:lncRNA from 1 species
AUGCGAUGCAUUUGUAUUGACCAAGCCUUUCGGCCGAUCCCACCAUUGCUUUGUGCUGAUAAGCAUACCUACGCUAUGCAACUUAUAUGCAUGAUUGAGCAUACGCGUGGUAUAUAGGGAAUUCUCAAGAUAACUCAUGAAAUUCCAAAGGAUGAAUAGUUCUACAAGUCUUAGUAAUGUAACUGAAAAAGGAUAUUUAGGUCAUUGGUAAAUGGCCAUAUUCAGACCAAUCAAUGAAUCAAGUUUAUAAAGGAAGAAAAAAAAAAACAAAGGAAAAAACAAAAAAAUAUCUACAUUUUCAUUACAUACUGUACAAAAAUGUACAAUAUAUACCAUAAUUAGAUUAGAAGGAUUCCUGUUGCACGUGCCAGACUACUUGGAUUAAAUAACGUCUACGAAGGUGCGUCGACGUGACACUGCAGUAGUUUACUACACCGCAUUAUUUUAGACAUCAACAGGGUAUGUUUUCAGCUUCAAACAUUAUUGGGAUUGUCAUAUAAAAAUAAAUUUAACAGUUUAUCAUUGCAAAAUAGUUUCACAAGAAUAGAAUAAAGUUUUACUAUAGAGUUCUGUAGAUAAUUUUAACAUUCAUAUCAUUAUUUUAUUAUACUGAAGAAAAAUUUUGUCCUGCUCCAUCUCAUUUUAUUCAAAUGAGUUCAAAAUACGUUUUCAAAAGCUUGAUGAUGAAUUUUUUUAAAUUAUAUAAUUCAAUCAAUUACUUUUCAGUUUUAAA